UUUGGUCUGGCUCAGAUUGAACGCGGCGGGAUGCUUUACACAUGCAAGUCGAACGGCAGCACGGACUUCGUGGUCUGGUGGCGAGUGGCGAACGGGUGAGUAAUGUCGGAACGUGCCUAGUAGCGGGGGAUAACUACGCGAAAGCGUAGCUAAUACCGCAUACGCCCUUCGAAGCGGGGGGACCUUCCCGGGCCUCGCACUAUUAAACGGCCGAUAUCGGAUUAGCUAGUUGGUGGGGUAACGGCUCGCAAGGCGACGAUCCGUAGCUGGUUUGAGAGGACGACCAGCCACACUGGGACUGAGACGGCCCAGACUCCUACGGGAGGCAGCAGUGGGGAAUUUUGGACAAUGGGGGAAACCCUGAUCCAGCCAUCCGUGUGCGAUGAGCCUUCGGGUUGUAAAGCACUUUGGCAGGAAAGAAACGGCACGGGAUAAUACCCCGUGCAACUGACGGUACCUGCAGAAUAAGCACCGGCUAACUACGUGCCAGCAGCCGCGGUAAUACGUAAGUGCAAGCGUUAAUCGGAAUUACUGGGCGUAAAGCGUGCGCAGGCGGUUCGGAAAGAAAGAUGUGAAAUCCCAGAGCUUAACUUUGGAACUGCAUUUUUAACUACCGAGCUAAAGUGUGUCAGAGGAGGUGGAAUUCACAUGUGCAGCAGUGAAAUGGCCAGAUGUGCGGAGGGAACACCGAUGGUGAAGGCAGCCUCCUGGAAUAACACUGACGCUCAUGCACGAAAAGCGUGGAGACAAACAGGAUUACCUGAUACCCUGGUAAGUCCACGCCCUAAACGAUGUCAACUAGCUGUUGGGGCUGUUCGGGGUAUGGUGUGGCGCAGCUAACGCGUGAAGUUGACCGCCUGGGGAAGUACGGUCGCAAGAUUAAAACUCAAGGAAUUGACGGGGACCCGCACAAGCGGUGGAUGAUGUGGAUUAAUUCGAUGCAACGCGAAAACCUUACCUACCCUUGACAUGUCUGGAAUCGAAGAGAUUUGGGAGUGCUCGCAAAGAGAACCGGAACACAGGUGCUGCAUGGCUGUCGUCAGCUCGUGUCGUGAGAUGUUGGGGGUUAAGUCCACCAACGAGCGCAGCGUGUCAUUAGUUGCUACGAAGGGCACUCUAAUGAGACUGCCGGUAACAAAACCGGAGGAAGGUGGGGAUGACGUCAAAGUCCUCAUGGCCCUUAUGGGUAGGGCUUCACACGUCAUACAAUGGUCAGGACAGAGGGUCGCCAACCCGCGAGGGAGCCAAUCAGAAGCGAUCGUAGUCCGGAUCGCAGUCUGCAACUCGACUGCGUGAAGUCGGAAUCGCUGACGUGGAUCAGCAUGUCGCGGUGAAUACGUUCGGGUCUUGUACACACCGCCCGUCACACCAUGGGAGUGGGUUUUACCGCAGUAGUUAGCCUAACCGUAAGGAGGGCGAUUACCACGACGGGAUUCAUGACUGGGGUGAAGUCUCGUAACAAGGUAA
rnacentral:rRNA from 1 species